rnacentral:rRNA from 1 species
UUUUAGUAGAUGAUUUAUUUAUUUUUAUUAGAGGGUAUAGCACUGAAUAUCUAAUACAGUAUUAGAAAGGAGUAUGAAAGUACUUACUUUGGAUAUUUAAUCUCAGAAUAAUUAAUAUAAUUAAAUAAGUUAUCAGACUUUUUGCGAUAAGGUGA